UGGUUCUCGCAUCGAUGAAGAACGCAGCGAAGUGCGAUAAGUAAUGUGAAUUGCAGAUUUUCGUGAAUCAUCGAAUCUUUGAACGCAUAUUGCGCCCUCUGGUAUUCCGGAGGGCAUGCCUGUUUGAGCGUCAUUUCCUUCUCAUAUCUCUAAGAUGUGGUGAUGAGCGAUACUUCUGCUUCUGUGGAAGUUCGUUUGAAAUGAAUUGGCACGAGUCUUUUGUUCGAGUAAUGCUAUUUAUUCAAUGUAUUAGGUUUGCACCAUCGUUGAUUGGUAGUAUUGUGAGAAUGAAGUUAUGGGCUUUGCCUUACAAACUUAUCAUAAAGUUUGACCUCAAAUCAGGUAGGAUUACCCGCUGA
rnacentral:misc_RNA from 1 species